UGGAAGAAGAUGAAAGCAGUGCAAAUGUUUUGAAACAGAAUGAUAGUGGAACAAUAGAUAAUUACAUUAUAACACAAACUUUCCAUCGCAUUGCUGCAUUAUUUGACGAACACAUUUAGAAUAAUAGUUAUUUUAAUAGAUAUUCAUUGUCAUACAAUUUUUUUUUGCAAAAUUGUUAUUGGUAACUUGAGAUCUAUUAAAAAAAAAUUAGCAUAUAUUUUUUUCAUAUAUUAGCUUGCACAUUUUUUUUACAAAUAUUAGCAUGUAAUAUUAGUAUUAAUUAUUACUAAUGUUAAACAUCAUUAUAAAAUCACUUCAGCAAAAAGUUUAUCGUAAAUCACUUUUCUUUUAAAAUNAAAAAAUAGUAUGACGAUUUAGAUUUAGUAAAUUAGGCUUAGUUUGGUAUUGAGGCCUAUCUAACGUUAUUAGAUAAAAUGGAGUUGAGAAAAAAUCAUAUAGGGACAUACUUCUGCGUUCUCCGGUGGGACCGCAGAAAAUAUAUCAUAACCGACAAAUCGCGAUAUGCGGAGCGCAAUAUUAUGUCUGAAAACAAACAGAGCAUUUUUUUAUCAUACUUUCUCACGGCACGUAACGCUAAGCUUGAGUCAAAUACU
rnacentral:lncRNA from 1 species